rnacentral:lncRNA from 1 species
AACAUUCCUCCUCCGGUCGAGUCGAAUUCCGUUGAGGAGAAAACCGUCCACCGGAAACUUCGCCGGGAACGGAAAUCUAAGGUGUACCAGAAUAAUGAAGUGGAAGAUAAUGACGUCCCUCUGUCUCACCUGGAUUAUAUUAAAAAAAGGAGGUGAAUUACCAGAAUAAUGAAAGGGAAAAUAAUGACGUAACUAUGUCUCACCUGGAUUAUAGACAAAAUCACUCUUAUUUCUAUUCAUGGAAACAAACAAGAUCUUACUUAUAUUAGAAAAGCACAUAUCCAAAAGAACGAACGAGAAUGAGUUUUGCUAUAAUUCUAUUGCCUUCUCAAUGGUUUCGCUUUAUCGACAUUAUGUUGGUUUGAUUCUUGGCUUGAUAUCAUGUAAUAUUUGAUGCUUUAAUUAAUGGGUUAUUUAGUCUUUGAUUUAUUACGUUUUUUUUUGUGUUUUUUAGAAUUUAUGCUACAUGUUGUUAUACCUUUUACGGAAAAGGGUCAGAAAUGCCCAUAACGUAUUGACGCCAGGUUAAAAAUGCCCUCCGUUAACCUAUUUUGAA